CCUACGGGGGGCUGCAGUGGGGAAUAUUGGGCAAUGGGCGCAAGCCUGACCCAGCAAAGCCGCGUGAAGGAAGAAGGCACUCGGGAUGUAAACCUCUUUUGUCAGGGAAGAAAAAAAUGACGGUACCUGACGAAUAAGCCACGGCUAACUACGUGCCAGCAGCCGCGGUAAUACGUAGGUGGCAGGCAUUAUCCGGAUUUACGGGGUGUAAAGGGCGGGUAGGCGGGAGAGCAAGUCAGAUGUGAAAUGCCAGGGCUCAACCCUGGGACUGCAGUUGACACUGUUUGUCUUGAGUGAUGGAGAGGCAUGCGGAAUUCCUGGUGUAGCGGUGAAAUGCGUAGAUAUACGGAGGAACACCAGUGGCGAAGGCGGCCUGCUGGACAUUAACUGACGCUGAGGCGCGAAAGCGUGGGGAGCAAACAGGAUUAGAUACCCUUGUAGUC
rnacentral:rRNA from 1 species